rnacentral:sRNA from 1 species
AUGUACCGCCCUUACACUCCGGUUCCUCCGCGCCGUCCGCACCCACCUGACGACCGCUCGCUACGUUUUGGUAGCC